GUAAGUUGGGUAGUUAAUUCCGGAGCUCUGCUCUUGGAUGAGCAAGAAAUUAAUGAAUGAUUUCUGAGUUCUGAGGAAGGUCCGCCCACCAUGAUGACUUUAGUUAUCAUCCAUCUCCUUAAGGAGUGGAGUUACCUUUUGAAAGAAAGGUUGUCGUGAGGCAAGGCUCUGUUACAGAAACGACACAGCUCUCAUAGACUCUGAACAAAGUUCAGGUCAAAGUCGAUUUGGAAGCAAAUCGCCUAGAGCAAUGAAACAUGCGUUGAGCGAAGAGAUGAGAGAUUUGAUGAAACGGGCAUCCUGACUGGUGCAAGCCUUUAAGGUGCUAAGUGGAAUAUUAACAAUUUCCGUUCGUUCGCGAGGAAAUACAGAAGGUGGCCUAUUCCCAACUUAC
rnacentral:RNase_P_RNA from 1 species